AAGACACCUGCUAUUGGAGACAUCCUGAGCGUUUAAGGAGUGCUCACUUCCCGUCGACGCUUUCCCAGCCAAGGAAAGCCAAGCUGAUUCUGCGUUCAUCACCAAAACCUCCCCAACAGCACUGGCCUGAGGUGGCCGCGCGCCGCUGCGGAGCCGCUUCCGGCCUGGACCCCGCCCCUCUCGCCGCGGGUGCCCGGAUGAGGGCAAGAUGGCGGGCGCGGCAGAUGAGCUGGCCGGGCGGGUCGGGUCCCACGACGUCACCACCGCGUGUCAGGGCCGCACGCCGCCGCGCCUUGGCCUCGGAACGGGAGCUCUAUCCUGCAUAUUUCCCCGAAGCUGUCAUACUUGCCGUGCACCUGCCAACCUCCGGACUUCAUGAAUUUUUUAAGCACUCAGUUGCUCCCAGUGGGGGUCGGACAUGGCAUCACUGACCCUGACGCCGUCUGUGUUACUUGUGGCUGCAGCCGGGAGAAGGCGGGAGGAACCAUCGUCUAGUGGCCUUGGCCGUUACCAAGCAAGCAGAGGCUUGUUUUUGUGUGUGUUUUCUGUGUUUCUACCGCUCUGAAACCAGAUCUCAGUGGAGUGCCAUCUAAGAAAACAGCAACAGACAUAUAUCUCAAGGACUUGAAAGAAUGUUUGGCUGGUGUUAUCCUCCCACAAGCUAAAGGCUGGGAGCCAAGCUGGGCAGAACCUCCCAGUCUGAGAGACCACCUCCUCUCAGCAAAUGCUCAUAGCAACACAGCUGUUCAGUCUGCAGAAGCCCGUAUGGCACGUGUUUCUCCAUGGGACCAUGCUGUGCAGGCAGCUGGAUAGGAAACAGAACCGGGACUCCAUCCAAGCACUCCAAUUCAGGUACCCUUAACCACUGUGCCACAAUACCCAUGCCUUGGUACCCUUUUCUGGAGUGAAUGGGGCAUCGUGUUUUGACAGGUGAGACACCAAGGCUCAGAGAGUUAGGGAAUUUGCCUUACAGUGGAAGAGCUGGGAUUCCCACCCUGCUCUCUUGGAUACUAAAGAAAGCAGUUUCACACAGUGUUUUCCCAGCAAUUGAAGGAGUUUGAUAGAAUGAUACUUGGGGCUGGUGUUGUGGUGUAUUGGGUUAAGCCACUGCUUGCAGCACAGGCAUCUCAUAUGGGCACUGGUUCAAUUCCUGGCUGCUCUACUUUGGAUGCAGCUCCCUGCUAAUGCACCUAGGAAAUCAACGGAAGAUGGCUCAAGUAGGGCUUGGGUCCCUGCCUGCACCCACGUGGGAGACCUGGAAGUAGCUCCUGGCUCCUGGCUUUGGUCUGGUCCAGCCCUGGCCAUUGUGGACAUCUGGGGAGUGAACUAGUGGAUUAGGAUUGAAGGUCUCUCUCUGUCUCUCUUUUUCUUUCUCUCUAACUCUGCCUUUCAAAUAAAU